rnacentral:tRNA from 1 species
GUGGGUAUAGCUCAGUUGGUAGAGCGCCUGAUUGUGGUUCAGGAGGUCGCGGGAUCGAUGCCCGUUACUCACCCCA